GUGCAUAUAACACACGCAUAACACUCAUAACUCGCAGAUUGUGGGAUCAUUGACUUGGACGAUAGUUUAAAAGAUCUAGGAGUAUUCGUGUUGUGGAAGGAGUUUGUUUAAACAAAUCGAAAAUGCUGUCGUCAAACGUAUGCCGUGUUCUCGUCUUUUUAAUUUUGUCAUGCGUGGCUACUGAACGUGGUUUUGGCUCACCGAGGAUCGCGAACAAACAGACGAAGCGUUCGUCCCCAACACCACAAUGGUUCUCUUUUACCGCGUCUUUUGGUAAAAAGACCGGAAAUGUGUCGAUUCCUCAGAAAGAUAUCCACAAAUUUAUCAAGAACGACGUGAUGCCGAAAAUCAAUGGCUUUAAAAUGGUCGAAACAGAAGGCGUUUGGAAAGGUCAGAAAGAGGAUUCCUUCGAUAUCGUAGUCCUGAGCAACGAAUUUAACAAAAUGAAGAAAAUAAUCGAAGACAUUUGCAAGUUGUAUAAGAGAAAGUUCAAACAAGAUUCCGUGCUGUUGUUUUACAGCAAACAAACAGUUCAAUUUUUGUGAGGCCUCGACGACCCAUACCUAUUUACUUAUCUAUCUAUCUAAGAUAACAUAUGCAUGCAAAAAUAUUAAUUGUCUCUAAGUACGGUUUUAGAGUUUGCGGGGAUAGUCAACGUUGUAAACAAAAUAUAGUCGAGCUUGAACUCUGUAAUCAAAUUGAAUAAAGAAGAAUUUAUCGA